rnacentral:tRNA from 1 species
GCGCCCUUAGCUCAAUGGAUAGAGCACCGGUCUUCUAAACCGUCGGUUGGGAGUUCGAAUCUCCCAGGGCGCACCA